GGUCCCUUGAACUGCAUGCUUGCAGUACUCUCAAAUGAGAUAGACGAAGACCACAUCAAUACACUCAAGGAUAUUGGAUUGAAAAUUAUAGAAAAAUGUGGUGGUUUGCCCCUUGCAGUCAAAGUAAUGGGAGGACUCCUGUGUCAAACAGAGAUGCUACGUCGUGACUGGGAGCAGGUUGUGGAUGACUCUAAAUGGUCAAUAACUGAAAUGCCCCAAGAGCUCAACCAUGCAGUAUACUUGAGCUAUGAAGCUAUGCCUCCUUAUCUGAGGCAGUGCUUUCUAUACUACUCUAUUCUGCCCAAAAGUAAAACAUUUUAUGUGCCUGACGUCAUUGCAAUGUGGAUUAGUGAAGGAUUUAUUCAUGGAAACUCUAAUGAUCUAGAAGAAACAGGGAAAAAAUACUACAAGGAGUUGAUAUCUAGGAACCUUAUAGAGCCAGAUAAAGGUGUUAUUGAUCAAUGGUCUUGCAGCAUGCAUGAUGUUGUUCGCUCAUUUGCUCAAUAUAUGAGUAGAGACGAAGCACUCAUAGAUCACAACGGAGAAAUUGGUAUUCUUACUAAACUGAAUUCACAAAAGUUUCUUUGCUUGUCUAUGGAAACAACCAUAUUGCAAUCAGGUGAAUUAGAAUGGAAAUCUUUACAAGAGCAGAAAUCAGUGAGAACAUUAAUCUCAAUUGGCAGGAUCAAGAUGAACCCUGGUGAUUCAUUGCUUAACUUUUCUAGUCUGCGGACUCUAUAUAUAGAAUCUGAAGAUGUGUCUGUAUUGGUUGAAUCAUUGCAUCAACUCAAGCACCUGAGGUAUUUGGCCCUACUAAAUGCUGAGAUAUCUGUACUUCCAGAAAACAUUGGCAAGAUGAAAUUAUUGCAAUUCAUUGACCUUCGUGAAUGUUCAAAAUUGGUGAAUCUUCCUGAUAGCAUAGUGAAGCUUGGCCAGCUGAGGCAUCUUGAAUUCCCAGGCAAAGUAAGUAUGAUACCUAGAGAGUUCCGUUGUUUGACAAAUAUGAGGAAUCUAUAUGGGUUUCCAGCCUACGUGGAUGGUGAUUGGUGCAGUUUGGACGAGUUGGGGCCUCUUUCCCAACUCAGAUAUCUGAGUUUAGUGCAAUUGGAGAAUAUAUCUUCAUCAUCGUCUGCUGCUAAUGCUAGGCUUGGUGAGAAAAUGCAUAUGAUCGACCUAAUCUUGUCUUGUACAAGCAAACUCGGAGAUGAUGGGUUGGUCAAAGAAGAAAAUGGUGUCUGUCAGGAAGAGAAAACUCGAAUCGAGAAGGUGUUUGGUGAGCUCUGCCCUCCGACCAGUGUACAAUAUCUUGAUAUCAGUGGGUAUUUUGGCCAGCAACUCCCGAAUUGGAUGACGUCCAAGUCAAUGGUGCCCCUCAACAACUUAAAGUCUCUAUUGUUUUCUGACCUGGCUUGUUGCACCCAACUUCCGAAUGGGUUGUGUCAGCUCCCCUGUCUGCAGUUUCUUCAGGUCGCACGCGCUCCAUGCAUCAGGAGUGUGGGAACUGAAUUCUUGCAUCCCUCCCAGGGGGCAUCAGCUCCAUUUCCGAGAUUGCAGAGGAUGCAAUUAUUUGGUAUGGUGGAAUGGGAAGAGUGGGUGUGGGAGGGGAAAGUGCAAGCCAUGCCCCGUUUGGAGGAGCUUUUGGUCGAAAAAUGCAAACUGCGGCGUGUUCCUCCUGGCCUUGCCUCCAACGCAAGGGCUUUGAGAAAGUUAUCCAUACAAAAUGUCAAGCAGAUCAGCUGCCUUCAGAAAUUUCCUUCUGUCGUUGAGCUUACAGUGGAUUGGUGCCCUGACCUGGAGAGGAUCACUGAUCUCCCCAAAGUGCAGAAGCUCACCAUCACCGGAUGCUGGAAGGUGAAGGUAGUGAAGUACUUGCCCGCACUGCAGAGGCUGGUGCUGGAGGAUGGCAGGAUGGAAACAGUCCCUGGAUACUUGGGAGACGUGAACCCGAGCUAUUUGGAGCUAAGAUGCGGCCUAACGCUGCUCACUUCCAUAGCAGCGGGGGAAUCUGGACCAGAGUUUGCCAAGUUCAGCCACGUAGAGCGUGUCAAGGCCAGAGGGGCAUACAGAAAUAGUGAUUUCUACGUGUUGUACACAAGAGGGCCGUGCAGCUUCGACACAAAUGUCAAUCCGUCAUUCCUGUCUAGAGGAACUCUACCUAUUUUUGAGGAUGCACAAAGGCUAGAGUCUGCGCUGAAAAUGCCAAGAAGAGCCUUCGACUACGUCUGCAACUUAUUGAAGGAGAAGUCUUGGCAAGAUGCGAACAAAUACACCUUUCCCGAUGGGAGGUAUUUGUGUUUAGAAGACGGAGUUGCCGUCGCUCUGAUAGUGCUCAACUCUGGCGAGACACCUGCAACCGUAGGAUCCUCCGUUGCUUUGAAUGAGUCAAUCGUCUCGCAGGUAACCAAGAGCUUUGUUGUUGCUAUGGACACACCAGGAUGGCCAGGCACCACUGAAAUGGAGAAGAUCAAGUACAAGUUUGACAAGAUCCGCGGCCUGCCAAACUGCUGCGGUGUUGUACAUGCAGCUCGCAUCCCAUUUGGGUCUCAAAACAGCGACCGUGAGAAGAAGAAUGAAGACAUGCUAAUGCAAGUCACCAUUGAUUCAGAUAUGAGGUUCAUAGAUGUCCACUUGGGAUCGCCAGACAACAUGAAGAAGUCAAGCAUUUCACAUGACUCUUCUCUCUUCGAGGAGUGUGAGAAGGGUACUAGGCUGAAUGGUAGCAAGCUGAAUUUAUCGGAUGGACGGCAAGUUGGAGAAUACGUGAUUGGUGAUGCCGGAUAUCCUCUUCUUCCCUGGCUGCUCACACCUUACCACCCGGAGAAUGACCUCUCAGAUUAUCAAGUAGAGUUCAAUAGGAGACACUCAGAAGCAAUGGCCGUUGUGACGAGGAGUGCACUGGAAAGAUUAAAAGACACAUGGAAGUUCCUUCAUGGAGGGAGGUGGCGUCCUGAACAUCGAUUUGAACUUCAUCAGGCAAUCCAAGCAUGCUGCAAGUUGCAUAACAUAGUGUUAGAAAUGGAGUGUAAGGUAGCCACAACGAGCUAUGGCGCCGGUAGCAAAGAAGUACGGCAGUUAGCAGAUGAGGAUGCGGCCAUGGCAAGGGAUAUAUUGUCGCAACACUUGACCAGCAAACCAUUGGAAUCUGGAGGAACCCUGGCUAUUUUUGAGGAUGCACAAACAUUCGAGUCUCUAUUGAAAAUGCCAAGAAGAACCUUCAACUAUGUCUGCAGCUUGCUGAAGGAAUCGUCUUUGGAAAUUAUGAACAGCUAUUUCUUUUUUGAUACGAGGUUCUUUUCUUUAGAAGAUCGAGUAGCCAUCGCUCUGAUAAUGCUCAACUCUGGCGACCCACCUGCAACUGUAGGAUCCUUUCUUGGAGUGAACGAGUCAACGGUCUCGCUGGUAACCAAGAGCUUUGUUGAUGCCAUGGCUGAGAGAGCAAAGUACCAUGUGUACUGGCCACAAUCUGAUGAGAGGGAGAAGAUGAAAUCCAAGUUUGCCAAGAUCCAUGGCCUGCCAAACUGCUGCGGCGUUUUACAUACAACUCAUGUAUCACCUGCGUCAAGAAGCUGGGACCAUCAGGAUAAGGAAAGCUUUGUACUGCAAGGCGUUGUUGAUCCAGAUAUGAGGUUCACAAGCACUUGGAUGGGACCACAGGAAGAUGACAUGAACCAGUCAAGCUUUUUGCACAGCUCUAUUCUCUUCAAGAAGUGCGAGAAGGGUACAUGGCUGAACGGCAGAUAUUCCUUCUUAUCAAUCCGAGUUCAACAGGAGACACUCUGCAGCUAGAAUCAUUGCGGUGAAGGCGCUAGCAAGGUUGGAAGACACAUGGAAGUUCAUGCACGGUGAAUGGCGUCCAGACACUCCACGUGAGAUGAUCGAUGCAAUCCGUGUCUGCUGCAGGUUGCAUAACAUAGUGAUAAGCAUGGAAGAGGGUGAAGGCAUGCCCAGUGACCAAGAGGUGAGGUGAAUUACAGCGACGAAGUGCGCCAGUUUGCAAACGAGGACGCUGUCAGGGCACGGGAUGUCCUGUCCCGGUACUUGACCAGCAGGACGUCCGAAUUUAGAGUCGACCAGGUGGAUCAAAAGGUUCAACAGGAAGCAGCUCCAUCCGGCUCUGGGGAUAAAGAGCAACAAGAAGUAUA